rnacentral:tRNA from 3 species
GCGUCGGUCGUCUAAGGAAAGAUACUCGUCUCCAAACGAGGGAUGUAGGUGCAAGGCCUGCUCGGCGCUCCA